rnacentral:rRNA from 1 species
CAGCAGCCGCGGGAAUACGAAGGGUGCAAGCGUUACUCGGAAUUACUGGGCGUAAAGCGUGCGUAGGUGGUGGUUUAAGUCCGUUGUGAAAGCCCUGGGCUCAACCUGGGAAUUGCAGUGGAUACUGGAUCACUAGAGUGUGGUAGAGGAUAGUGGAAUUUCCGGUGCAGCAGUGAAAUGCGUAGAGAUCGGAAGGAACAUCUGUGGCGAAGGCGACUAUCUGGGCCAACACUGACACUGAGGCACGAAAGCGUGGGAAGCAAACAGGAUUAGAUACCCGCGUAGUCCCUGUCUCUUAUAC